GACUCGAUGCGCUGGUUCCCUGUAGAUGAUCCGUAACUGUGGCUUGACGAUCCAGCAUAAUAGUCCGUGUGCGCGUGACGGAGGGUACACUGUAUUGCUGCCAUAGUCCCAUUCUCAGUCCCGAAGUCUGUUCGUAAUCUCAUUGGUAUCACACCAAGACUCUUUACACAGUUUAUAUAAUUGUGAGCUAUAACAGCCGGGUUGUUGUUUGUUGCUCCACACACAAGCCACAUCAGUCUUCUUGAAAAGCCAUCUAUACAUCCUGACAGGGCCAAGCCAAAGGGUUUCAGUUUAUCAUGGCCAUCUACAUGCCAUAUGUAAUUGGGCCCCAUGGAGUGAUACGUGCGUCUUGUGAACCUCCUUCGAGUUCUCAAAGCGAUUCCUUGAGGAUUUAGUUGUCUCAACAGCCUCAUAACUACAUCACGUUUGACACGCAGCUUGUGUUUUUGUUUGAGAACUUGCCACAUGGUCCGAUAUCCAAACAAUUGUCCUGGUCCUCGAAGCUCGGCCAAAAUGUGCCGCCUCACCUCAGGAAGUGGAGAAUAGUUGCCUCGUCUGUACAGUCCAGAUUCUUUUAAAUGCGUUUUCAGUGUACGCAUACUAAUUGAAAUGUCACGAUUACACUUGAGCAUAUCCAGUAUCACCUCGUAUGUAUGUCCUGAAUCAAAAUAUUCUCGAAUAGCGACAGCUAUGUUUGGGUCACCGCUAAUGUUCAUGUUUGAAAAAAAUGCGCCACAGGCAGAGUAACUUCCGGUUCCAAAGACGAACAGAUCGGACAUCCAAUCAGUGAUGUCUCCUGUUGCCGACUGGUACCUACCCUUUCCGGUUUUCUUAAUGUAAUUGUGCUUCUCAAUUUGUUUUUGUGCUUCUUCUUUUGUUUUUGUGCUUCUCGAUUUGUUUUUGUGAUUCUUCUUUUGUUUUUGUGCUUCUUAAUUUGUUUUUGUGAUUCUUCUUUUGUUUUUGUGCUUCUUGAUUUGUUUUUGUGAUUCUUGAUUUGUUUUUGUGAUUCUUCUUUUGUUUUUGUGAUUCUCAAUUUUGUUUUUGUGCUUCUCAAUUUUGUUUUUGUGCUUCUCAAUUUUGUUUUUGUGCUUCUUAAUUUGAUUUUGUGCUUCUCAAUUUUGUUUUUGUGAUUCUCCAUUUGUUUUUUUGUUUCUCGAUUUUGUUGUUGUGUUUAGCAAUUUGUUGGUGUGAUUUGCACUUCAGGGCCUCUCAAUUUUGUUGUUGUGUUUAGCAAUUUGUUGGUGUGAUUUGCACUUCAGGGCCACCGUAGCUUUCUCCUGGCAACCUUUCCAAACAGACUGUACUUGUUCAGUCUUUUUCUAAUUGUACUGUCAUCAACUUUAACAUUUAACUUGCUAACUGAGGCCUGUAUAUUCUGAGAUGUUGCUCUAGGGUUUUUGCAAUUUCUCUGAGCACUGCGUGGUUUAGUUUGGCAUGGAUUUGCAGGGAUGUGCACUCCUGGGAAGAUUGUUAUGUUUACAUCUACCUUUACAAUUUUUACCUUUUUGGCCACCCAAAUAGAAAUCUUCUACCAGAACUAUCAGGACAAAAUGCAUGCCACAUACCUUAUUUAAAAGCUGUCAUCUUCUAGCUUUUAAUAUUCCAUUUGCUUUUAUUCUCACCUCCUUCUCUUCUCUUCUUCUGAAGUUACACUCCAGCCAUGGAUUAGAAUAAAUAAAUAAACAAAAAUAAAAUCAGAUUUGUUUGCAAAAUAAUAAAAUCUCUCCCAUUAAUAUAUCUAUAGUACUCUGUUAUUACACAAAGAAGAAUUUUAGAGAAAUUAGAAAGCAAGAAAUUUAGAAAGCAUUACAUACUAUGCAAAUGAUA
ensembl:lncRNA